CAGUAGCCACGGUAAUACAGAGGGUGCGAGCGUUAAUCGGAUUUACUGGGCGUAAAGCGUGCGUAGGCGGCUUUUUAAGUAGGAUGUGAAAUCCCUGAGCUUAACUUAGGAAUUGCAUUCGAUACUGGGAAGCUAGAGUAUGGGAGAGGAUGGUAGAAUUCCAGGUGUAGCGGUGAAAUGCGUAGAGAUCUGGAGGAAUACCGAUGGCGAAGGCAGCCAUCUGGCCUAAUACUGACGCUGAGGUACGAAAGCAUGGGGAGCAAACAGGAUUAGAUACCCGAGUAGUCCCUGUCUCUUAUAC
rnacentral:rRNA from 1 species